ACAAGUAACAGCUCAACAACAAGCUCUAAAGAAGCUUCAACAAUGGGAUGGUUGGGGAAUUGCAGCGCCAUUGACAUAAUCACUAGGGUGAUCACUUCUAGUGACCACUCAUAAUGGCUCAGUCAUGACCAGCUAAGGCGGGCAAAAAGGAUCUUGACCAAGUUCCAGUCUCUUGCUAUACGGGAUACUGAUCUUUGAGACAAGAUACGGUUGAAGAGCUAGAGAGAAAUAAACCUGGAAAUAAAGGCGGCUUCUUAGCCAGUUUCACUCUUGCUUAUAUCAAGCUAAUGAAUUAAUUAGCGGUGAGACCACGGCUGACCAGCAUCGUCAUCCUCGUUGUCAAGUGCUAAGCAAACGAGAAAUACGCGUCUACCCAGCCAGAUUUUUAUCUACAUUAAGAGGAAGGCCCCCACAGUGUAUUCGUAAACACGUUUCUUUGAGGUGUAGUCAGACAGAGGAUGGAGGAAGAGGAGUCGAAUAUAAUCGAAUGCAGAUGGUAUCUUUUCUUGCAUAUUUCCGAUGAUGUAACAAGAUUAAUUCACGUUCGUUUAUCGCGCUAUUGAGCAAGGAAUUUCGUGCAAAGAGAAUGAAAAAAAAGAUGAAGAGGGUGAAAACAGCGUACUGAUAG